UGGGGAAUAUUGGACAAUGGGCGCAAGCCUGAUCCAGCCAUGCCGCGUGUGUGAAGAAGGCCCUUUGGUUGUAAAGCACUUUAAGCGAGGAGGAGGCUACUUGGAUUAAUACUCUAGGAUAGUGGACGUUACUCGCAGAAUAAGCACCGGCUAACUCUGUGCCAGCAGCCGCGGUAAUACAGAGGGUGCGAGCGUUAAUCGGAUUUACUGGGCGUAAAGCGUGCGUAGGCGGCUUCUUAAGUCGGAUGUGAAAUCCCUGAGCUUAACUUAGGAAUUGCAUUCGAUACUGGGAAGCUAGAGUAUGGGAGAGGAUGGUAGAAUUCCAGGUGUAGCGGUGAAAUGCGUAGAGAUCUGGAGGAAUACCGAUGGCGAAGGCAGCCAUCUGGCCUAAUACUGACGCUGAGGUACGAAAGCAUGGGGAGCAAACAGG
rnacentral:rRNA from 2 species